rnacentral:RNase_P_RNA from 13 species
AGAGUAGACGCAGGCGGUUGCAGAUCGGUGAUAAUCACUGGUUUGAGGAAAGUCCGGACUCCCGAAAGACCAAACUUGCUGGAUAACGUCCAGUGCGAGCGAUCGUGAGGAUAGUGCCACAGAAAGAUACCGCCAAUCAAUUUUAGAUUUUAGAUUUUAAAUUUUGGAUUGAAUCUAAAAUCCAAAAUCCAAAAUCCAAAAUUGUUUGGUAAGGGUGCAAAGGUGCGGUAAGAGCGCACCAGCAGCAUCGAGAGGUGCUGGCUCGGUAAACCCCGGUUGGGAGCAAGGCCGAAGGAACUACGGUUGGUCUUUUACCAGUUCCGCUCAACAAGAGCCGCUAGAGGCGUCUGGUAACAGGCGUCCCAGAUAGAUAACUGCCCUCGCAAGAGAACAGAACCCGGCUUAUGUGCUGCUCUUUCC